UACGGAGGAUGCAAGCGUUAUCCGGAUUCAUUGGGUUUAAAGGGUGCGUAGGCGGGAUAAUAAGUCAGUGGUGAAAUCCUACAGCUUAACUGUAGAACUGCCAUUGAUACUGUUAACCUUGAGUACAUUUGAAGUGGGCGGAAUGUGUCAUGUAGCGGUGAAAUGCUUAGAUAUGACACAGAACACCGAUAGCGAAGGCAGCUCACUAAACUGUAACUGACGCUGAGGCACGAAAGCGUGGGGAUCAAACAGG
rnacentral:rRNA from 1 species